rnacentral:rRNA from 1 species
CCUACGGGAGGCAGCAGUGGGGGAUAUUGGGCAAUGGGGGGAAGCCUGACCCAGCAACGCCGCGUGAGGGAAGAAGGCUUUCGGGUUGUAAACUUCUUUUCUCAGGGACGAAGCAAGUGACGGUACCUGAGCAAUAAGCCACGGCUAACUACGUGCCAGCAGCCGCGGUAAUACGUAGGGGGCAAGCGUUAUCCGGAAUUAUUGGGCGUAAAGGGUGCGCAGGCGGUCCUGCAAGUCUGGAGUGAAACGCAUGAGCUCAACUCCCGCACGGCUUUGGAAACUGGAGGACUGGAGAGCAGGAGAGGGAGGCGGAAUGCCAUGUGUAGCGGUAAAAUGCGUAGAUAUAAGGAAGAACACCAGUGGCGAAGGCGGCUGACUGGCCUGUUGCUGACGCUGAGGCACGAAAGCGUGGGGAGCAAACAGGAUUAGAUACCCGGGUAGUC